rnacentral:rRNA from 1 species
GGGCUUGACAUCCCACGAACCUGCCUGAAAGGGUGGGGUGCUUUUCGGAGAGCUCGGAGACAGGUGGUGCAUGGCUGUCGUCAGCUCGUGUCGUGAGAUGUUGGGUUAAGUCCCGCAACGAGCGCAACCCUCACCCCUUGUUGCCAUCAGGUAAUGCUGGGCACUCUAGGGGAACUGCCCCGGUCAACGGGGAGGAAGGCGGGGAUGACGUCAAGUCAUCAUGCCCCUUACGCCCUGGGCUACACACGUGCUACAAUGGUCGGUACAAAGGGAUGCGAGACCGCGAGGUGGAGCCAAACCCAAAAAGCCGGCCUAAGUUCAGAUUGGAGUCUGCAACUCGACUCCAUGAAGGAGGAAUCGCUAGUAAUCGCGUAUCAGCACGACGCGGUGAAUACGUUCCCGGGCCUUGUACACACCGCCCGUCACACCACGAAAGCCAGCUGUACUCGAAGUCGCUGAG